ensembl:snoRNA U8 U8 small nucleolar RNA
UUAUCAGUGAGGUAUAUCCUUACCUGUUGCUCCAUCCGUGGAGUUACAGAACAUGAUGAAUGGAGAAUCAUGAGAUAUGAUUAAUAUCUCCAUCUUUUGGGGAACAGCAACACCCCUUAAGACCAUUCUGAU